CAAAAUAACAAUGUACUUUAAUAUUUUUUGAUUCAAAUACAAGAACAAGUAGUUACAAAAUGUUUGCUGAUUAAAAAUGAUUUCCAAUAUAACAGAUUAUGGCUUUUGGAUAACCAAUACAACUAAAUGAUAAUAUUUAAUUUUUAUUUAAUAAAUAAUAGCUGUAAUUUAUAAAACAUUGUAUAAUCCAAACACAAAACAUUCAUUGGAUUUUAGGGUUUACUAAUGAUGGGCAUGAUCAUGUCAAUCAUUAUUGGGCUGUUUGUCGACUACUGAACUAUUCAACUGUCAAAAAACCAUUUGGCAGACAAAUUAGUUUUGUUAAUUAAAGGUUUUCGCAUUAGUUAUUUAUAAUUCAAAUAUAACAGUUACAAAGAUACAAAUUCAGUUAUACAUAUAUUUGUAUAUAUUUUUUUCUAGUUAUAAAAUAUAGUUCAAUUUUUAUCAAGC